rnacentral:rRNA from 1 species
UACGUAGGGUGCGAGCGUUAAUCGGAAUUACUGGGCGUAAAGCGUGCGCAGGCGGUUUUCCAAGACAGAUGUGAAAUCCCCGGGCUCAACCUGGGAAUGGCAUUUGUGACUGGAAGGCUAGAGUGUGUCAGAGGGGGGUAGAAUUCCACGUGUAGCAGUGAAAUGCGUAGAGAUCCGGAAGAACACCGGUGGCGAAGGCGGCCUGCUGGGCAGUAGCUGACGCUGAGGCGCGACAGCGUGGGGAGCAAACAGG